rnacentral:rRNA from 1 species
AUACGGAGGGGACUAGCGUUGUUCGGAAUUACUGGGCGUAAAGCGUACGUAGGCGGAUCAGAAAGUAUGGGGUGAAAUCCCAGGGCUCAACCCUGGAACUGCCUCAUAAACUCCUGGUCUUGAGUUCGAGAGAGGUGAGUGGAAUUCCGAGUGUAGAGGUGAAAUUCGUAGAUAUUCGGAGGAACACCAGUGGCGAAGGCGGCUCACUGGCUCGAUACUGACGCUGAGGUACGAAAGUGUGGGGAGCAAACAGGAGUAGAAACCCCAGUAGUCC